rnacentral:rRNA from 1 species
AUUGAACGCUGGCGGCAGGCCUAACACAUGCAAGUCGAGCGGAUGAAGGGAGCUUGCUCCUGGAUUCAGCGGCGGACGGGUGAGUAAUGCCUAGGAAUCUGCCUGGUAGUGGGGGAUAACGUCCGGAAACGGGCGCUAAUACCGCAUACGUCCUGAGGGAGAAAGUGGGGGAUCUUCGGACCUCACGCUAUCAGAUGAGCCUAGGUCGGAUUAGCUAGUUGGUGGGGUAAAGGCCUACCAAGGCGACGAUCCGUAACUGGUCUGAGAGGAUGAUCAGUCACACUGGAGCUGAGACACGGUCCAGACUCCUACGGGAGGCAGCAGUGGGGAAUAUUGGACAAUGGGCGAAAGCCUGAUCCAGCCAUGCCGCGUGUGUGAAGAAGGUCUUCGGAUUGUAAAGCACUUUAAGUUGGGAGGAAGGGCAGUAAGUUAAUACCUUGCUGUUUUAACGUUACCAACAGAAUAAGCACCGGCUAACUUCGUG